rnacentral:lncRNA from 10 species
UGUGGAAAGAAAUGAAAUUUGGAAUGGGCGAGGGGUGGAAUGAUAUGCUUUGGCUCUAUGUCCCCACUCAAAUUUUACGUUGAAUAAUAAUUAUCAAUGUUGGAAGAGGGCCUGAUGAAGGUGAUUGGAUCAUGAUGGCGGAUUUUCCACUUGCUGCUCUCAUGAAAUUGAACAGGUCUCCCUUUGUCACCUAGACUGGAGUUCAGUGGCACUAUCUCAGCUCACUGCAGGCUCAACCACCUGGACUCAAGCUAUCCUCCCACUUCAGCCUCCCAAGUAGUUGGGACUACAGGUGUGUGUCACCAUACCUGGAUUUUUUUUUUUAAUUUCUAGCAGAAACGAGGUCUCACUAUAAUGUCCAGGCUGGUUUCAAACUUCUGGGCUCAAGUGAUCCUCGUGAUUUGGCUUCCCAACAUGAAAAAUGCUGGGAUUACAGGUGUAAGCCACCACACUCAGAUCUUGAAUUAUUAAAUAUUUGUCUUUUUGAUGUUUCUUCCGAAGAUUUUGCACUUAUUCUCACACAAGCAAAAUUGUAGAUCUCUCUUAGAGUUGGUAGGUUUUUCCUACUGCACUUUUGCAAGAGCGGUGUUUAUUUCCCCUGGAAAUGCCAAGCCAACUAAAAAUUAUAUACUUAUACAUAUACACAAAUUCUGCCUCUCUCUCUCAUACACAUGUGUAUGAGACAGAGAGAGAGAGAGAGAUUCUACCUGAAAAC